UGCUAGUCUUUGUAUGGACAUUCUGUAGAGAUCAGACGACUUCAUGUGGCUAUGAGCAAUUUGAAGGAGAUCCUUUCUAAGCAUUGGACCAGUAGAGGUCAAAAAUCUUCAGUUUGAUAAUAAUUUCUAAGCUUUCUUGAUCGUGUUUAUUAGAUCUAACGGUUAGAUCUACAUGGUAGCAUCGAUUAGAUCGAUGCAAAUUUUUAUUUUCGAAUCUCAUAUGCAUAUUAAAUC
rnacentral:lncRNA from 1 species